AGGUGCACCCCGCAUCUCGUCAACAGUCUGCAUGUGCCGUCUCCGUGCAUCUUUGAGAAGCUUUGCGCUGUGAGACUGACUGUGGGAGAUCUAACAUCAUCUCUGUAUUAUCAGGUACAUGUUGUAUAUUUUUAUAUUUGUAUUAAUGUUAGCUUGUGUGUAAAUAACUUGUGAACAGUCUGCAUGUGCCGUCUCCGUGCAUCUUUGAGAAGCUUUGUCGCUGUGAGACUGACUGUGGGAGAUCUAACAUCAUCUCUGUAUUAUCAGAAUAAAUGGCGAGUUGGAGCCAAAAGUGA